UUUGCAUUAACUUAGAAUGUUGUUCUGUUUUAGGGCAUCUGUCACUUUAAAUCCAAAUAAGCUGCUGCUGGCCCCGGACCCCCAAACUCAACGUUUACGCUAACAAGUGAAAAUGGCUGCAAACAUAU